GUGGGGAAUUUUGGACAAUGGGCGAAAGCCUGAUCCAGCAAUGCCGCGUGCAGGAUGAAGGCCUUCGGGUUGUAAACUGCUUUUGUACGGAACGAAAAGCUUCGGGUUAAUACCCUGGAGCCAUGACGGUACCGUAAGAAUAAGCACCGGCUAACUACGUGCCAGCAGCCGCGGUAAUACGUAGGGUGCAAGCGUUAAUCGGAAUUACUGGGCGUAAAGCGUGCGCAGGCGGUUUUGUAAGACAGAGGUGAAAUCCCCGGGCUCAACCUGGGAACUGCCUUUGUGACUGCAAGGCUAGAGUGCGGCAGAGGGGGAUGGAAUUCCGCGUGUAGCAGUGAAAUGCGUAGAUAUGCGGAGGAACACCGAUGGCGAAGGCAAUCCCCUGGGCCUGCACUGACGCUCAUGCACGAAAGCGUGGGGAGCAAACAGGAUUAGAUACCCGGGUAGUCC
rnacentral:rRNA from 1 species